UACGGAGGGUGCGAGCGUUGUCCGGAAUCACUGGGCGUAAAGGGCGCGUAGGCGGUGGCCUAAGCGUGCGGUGAAAGCCCGGGGCUCAACCCCGGGUCGGCCGUGCGAACUGGGCCACUCGAGCACUGUAGAGGCGGGUGGAAUUCCGGGUGUAGCGGUGGAAUGCGUAGAGAUCCGGAAGAACACCGGUGGCGAAGGCGGCCCGCUGGGCAGUGGCUGACGCUGAGGCGCGACAGCGUGGGGAGCAAACAGG
rnacentral:rRNA from 1 species